rnacentral:rRNA from 1 species
GAUGAACGCUGGCGGCGUGCCUAAUACAUGCAAGUCGAGCGGAAAGACGCGGCGUGCGCGGUACUGACGUUAGCAACGGACGGGUAAGUAACACGUGGACAACCCACCUAUACGACUGAGAUCAGUUCGGGAAACUGGAGUACCUAACGGAAAACAUAUUGAGUGGGAUGGUUCAAUAGUGAUAGCCGGUUAUGAUGACAUUGCUACAUGUAUGCGCGCCGCAUUAGUUAGUUGGUAAGAUAACGGCUUACGAAGGCAACGAUGCGUGGCCGAACUGAGAGGGUGAUCGGCCACACUGGAACUGAGACACGGUCCAGACUCCUACGGGAGGCAGCAGUAGGGAAUCUUCCGCAAUGGGCGAAAGCCUGACGGAGCAACGCCGCGUGAGUGAUGAAGGUCUUCGGAUCGUAAAACUCUGUUAUUAGGGAAGAACAAAUGUGUAAGUAACUAUGCACGUCUUGACGGUACCUAAUCAGAAAGCCACGGCUAACUACGUG